CCUAUGAAAUGUUGUAGGAGUUGAAAAGUAAAUAGAACAGAAUUUGGCAAACAGAGAAUGAGGGCAAUUAAACACAAUUAAAAAAAAUGUAUGACACGAUUUGCCAUUCACACAACCCCAAAGUCAAAAAUCUACAAGAAACAGAGUGAGUGUACACUAGUGCUACAAUGGUAUCUUUUCUUAAGUGUCCAUGGCUGACCAUUAUCAGAUAUAGUGAUUGGUCUAAUUAACUAAUGGAGUUCAUAUGAAACCAGAAUUACACUGAAAAGUUCACAUCCAUGGAAUGGAUCUUCUUUUUUAAACACAUCAGUUCCCAACCUGAUCUCUGUGAACUAUGGAUCAGAUAUGUGAUUUGCAUCAUGGUAAAUAAUGAAAAUAGUAUUUAUCAGGAAAAAAAUGGAAGACUGCAUGGAAGAAAUAGACUUGGGGGUGUUGGUUGGUACUUGACUGAACAUGAGCCAGCAGUGUGCUCAGGUGGCCAAGAAAGCCAAUGGCAUCCUGGCUUGUAUCAGAAAUAGUGCUGCCAGCAGGAGCAGGGAGGCGAUCAUCUCCCUGUACUCAGCUUUGGUGAGGCUGCACCCUGAGAGCUGUGUACUGUUUUGGGCCCCUCACUACAAGACACUGAGGUCCUGGAUUGUGUCCACAGAAGGGUGAGGAGCCUGGAGCACAAGUCUCAUGAAUGAUUGAGGGAACUGGGAUUGUUCAGCGUGCAGAAGAGGAAGUUCAGGGGAAACCUUAUAGCUUUCUACAACAACCUGAAAGGAGGUGGUGGUGAGCUGGGGGUCAGCUUCUUCUCCCUUGUAACCAACAAUAGGACAGCAAGGAAUAGCCUCAAGCUGUGCCAAGGGACAUUCAGGUGAGAUAUUAGGAAAAAUUUCUACUAGCAAAGAGUGGCCAGGUGCUGGAACAGACUGCUCAGAGAGGUGGUUGAGUCACUGUCCCUGGAGAUGUUAAAGAAACAUUCAGAUGUUGCACUAAGGGAUGUGGGUUAAUGGGGAAAUAUUGGUGGCAGGUGGAUGGUUGGACUGGAUGAUCUUGGAGGUCUUUUCCAACCUUGGUGAUUCUAUGAUUCUAUGAUAGGUGCCAGUGGGGGGGGAAGCCCUGUUGCAGUGGUAUGAGUAAAGGCAGUGGCCCUCCCAGGCCCAUAUUCUGUAGUACAGAGCUGGAGAAGAUGUGUAUUGGUGCACGUAAAUGGGCAGCAGAGCCCAGAGUCAUAUUUCUGGAGAAACAAACAUUCAGGUUAGCUUUAGUGUUUGGUAACAAAAUACUUUUUGUUUAAUUUUCAGGUGCCUUUGGUCUCUUGCAUUUCUUAAAUGUUUCUGAACUCAAAGGCAUCCCAUAUAAGAACAUUCGAUAUGCAAGUUAAAAAAAAAUAAAAAUAAAAAAUGGUGGAAGUAUUCAGGCUUCAUUGUUAUGCCUGAGCACAAUGCCAGAGCUGUGCUGUGCAGCUUGUGGAAAUCUGGUCAAUUAGAUAGCAGUAAUUGGAAAUACUACACUUGCAGCCCACUUUGAUGUAGUUAUUUGGAGGAAAAAAAAUGUGUUCCCUCAGAGAAAGUGAGUGCUUGACUUAAAAGGGUUUUGCUACACUGUUAAAAUAUUUGAUUUCAGCCUAUAAUAAAUAGAUUGAAUGUAUUUUUCACUAAUAACGUCUCUGACAUUGCUAUUGCUGGGGCAGGGAGAAGUAGGCCGUGCAGUCCCGUGUUACAGCAUAUUCAUGAAGUUUAUUUCUGGCUCGUAGUUUAAUCAAAGAAGCUGUCAUCCAAUGACUCCAAAUUUUGGUCCCAGAUUGCCUGACUUGUCUUGGUGUCAGCACAGAGUAAUGGCAGCAAACAGGAUGCCAGGAGAUGGGUAAUUACCAUGGUGAAAUAGCAGGUCACAGUAUUUUGAUGAUGUUAAAUAGCAAUGGGUUAUUCUUUAACUAAACAGAGGAGAAAAAGAAGAGAGGAAAAAAUAAAAAUGUAUUGUAAAAGCUGUGUUCUAGGGAUAGUAGAUAGACGGGGAAUAGAUUUCAGUUAACACACUUCACUGACCACAACUCAGGUGGUUAAAUAUAUAUUUACUGAAUACAUUGUCCUUAAGCAAUUACGGUCUUAAGUUAGCAAAUGCUCAACAGACAACAAUUCCAAAUGUGCACUAACAAACAAACAGUCCUGGCAAAGCAUACCACAAAUGAUACGCACCCCCUGCUCCGUAACUCAUGGAAAGCCCAAAAGUACACAGUGCACUGCACAAGCUGCCAGGUAAUGGAGUCCGCCCAUUCCUUCAAAGCACAGUAUUAGACCAAAUUCUUUGAGAGAGGGCCAUAAUCAACAUCCCCUGGAAAGAAGGGAGAUUUCAAGAUCUUGUUGGGGAGGAUAAUGUGACCUGAAGUUCAAUGGUCGGUGCAGACAGGGUUGGUGACCCUGCACAUAGCAGGGGGUUGGAACCAUGUGGUCGUUGUGGUCCUUUUCAACCCAGGACAUUCUUUCUAUACUCUGUUAGUGACUAGUCUCUACUGACAUUGUUACUUAAUUGCUACAGUGCACCCUGCGUCUGCUGUAUGGAGUUAGUCUGAUAAGCUUUGUGUGGAUUGCUUCAUUAAAAAAGAAAAGCAAGGAAGACCUCCCCUGCGUUCUACAAGAGUUGCUUACUUAAGCCUAGAGCCAUGAAACCACACCUGUGAGUGCUGCCCCAUGUUUUGUCUUGGUGCAGCAUGGCUUGACAUGAAACAACACAACAGAGUGGCAGUACAUUCAGGCAGAAAUUGCUGGCUUGGGCUCUUGACAUUGGUUUAGGCCAUGACUGGAAGGGGCAGAAUCAGGUUUAUUGGUUCUCUCAGUGACAUAAUUGCUGCAGGCUAUAUACCAAAAUGAUAAACAAGACGACUAGGCGGGAAACUGCUACCAGAUCAUCAGCUGGUCCUGUUUUCCAUCCCUUACCUAAUUAUGCCUUUCCCUUUCUUUUGCCUGCCUUUUCAAGAGAAUUCCACAGCUGGUACUCCUGGCUACGUUUGAACACAAGGAUAAUUCCUCAUCCUUGCACUCCUUUCCAAAGAUGAGAGGCUUGCGUGUUGCAUGGAGCUCCUGCUUUGUUAAAAGUUUCAGGUUCAUUGUGAACAAAGACACCUGUUACAGGUCAGCCAAGUGCUUUGUCUUUACUUUCCACACUGUGUUCACAGCUCAAUGUAGACCUUGGAGUUGCUGAGAAGUAGCGGGUAUGUAUGCGCUCCUACCGCUACUGUACAGGUCACUGGAGUUACGUGGAGUUACUGUGUGCUGCACCAGGAGAACCCACGGCCAUGCCAUCUGGAUUCAGGUCAUCUAUCGAACCUCUGAUUUGAUUGGUGAUGGUGGCAGCUUGGCACGUGCAUGUAUGUUCUGUACUUCAGCUGAGAAGUCAGGAGGGUGGAUUGUUCUCUUGAGGUUAAUGCCAGCAGCUCAGCUGUGUCCUCACAACGCAGAACCAGAGUUCCCAUCCUUAAAUGUAAUUAAUGAUUCCCUCAUAAGAGUAUUCAACACUUGCUCAGACUACCUGUUAUUUAAGAAAGGGCCACAAACAGCUGACAAUAAAUAUUAUUAUAAGCAGCAGUAAAAUGUAGAUGUACAUCAAUAUGGGUGUGAUAGAGGGGACUGCCACUGGAGCAGGUCCAAAGGAGGGCAAUAAGGCUUGUGAAGGGCUUGGAGAAUAUGUCCUACAAGGAGAGACUGAAGGAACUGGGGCUGUUUAGUGUGGGGAAGAGGAGGCUGAGGGGAGACGUUAUUGCUCUCUUCCAAUAUCAGAAAGGUGCUUACAGUGAGAGCGGGGCUGGUCUCUUCUCACUGGUGACAGGAUGAGGGGAAAUGGCCUCAAGUUGCACCAGGGUAAGUUUAGGUUGGAUAUCAGGAAACACUUCUGUACAGAAAGGGUUGUGAAGCACUGGAAUUGGCUCCCCAGGGAGGUAGGGGAGUCACCAUCCCUGGAUGUGUUUAAAAUCCGUUUGGAUGUGGUGCUCAGGGACGUGAUUUAGCGGAAGGUUGUUAGAGUCAGGGUAGUAUGGUGAGGUUGGAACUGGAACGUGUUUUAGAUAGCAGUCUUUCUUGAUCCUUUCCAGUCAUGAAGUUGGGCUGAAGCCUACACCUGCUCUUGAGAGUGUAACUUUUCCAAUAUCACACUGUACAUGCACAGCAGGAACUUCCAGACAAGGUAGUGCAGUUCCUCUACCUGCUCUGAGUGAGGGCAAGCCACCCUUCUUGCUCCAGUUCACCCAGCGCUCAGGAAGGGAAGGAAGCUCUGCAGUAAAUUUCAAUGUGAGAAGUCAUGGUUUGCUGUAGUUCAGUAGGUUUGGGCAUUUGAAACGUGAACGUGCAAAACCAUGUAAUCGGGUAAGGGAUGAAGUUCACAUCUGGUAUUUAAUGAGAAAGGAAUUCUUCUUCAACAUUACCAAGUGUUAUAUUGGAAAGCAAAGCCCUAAGAAGAUUACAGCUAUUUCCUGCCUACAACCACAGGGCUUCUUUGUUCAGGACAAUGAGCAACUGAUGCUUUUAAUGCUACUUGUUUUCAGAUCUUCUGUCCUUUUUUUUUUUUCCAAUCCAAAUAAUCUAUUGCUCUUUUCCAUUACGUUUUUCUCAGAUAGCUGGGAGUAUCCUUCUCAAGUUGUGACUAAUUAGGCUUUUUAAGGGUUCUCAGUAACUUCUCAGUGCGCAAACACCAGCUGGAUAUUUGAACUAGAUCAAAGAGGGGAGGAGUGGAAAUAGUGGUAUGAGAUGCUGAUUAAGAACUGAACUGUGUCUGAUGAGCUGUGGAAGUUCGAUAAUGUCUUUCUUUGCCCCGGGCAUUCUGUGUAUUCCCUAAUAUAAACAAUAAAGAUGUUUGUGUUUGCAACCUAAUAUCGCUUUUCUGUUGCAAGAUAUCAUAGGUGUUUAAACCAAGUUCAGUGUUUGCAAAGAAACUGAAUUUUGUUCAUCCAUUGACCUCCUGUUUUCCCUAAGCAAGAAUGGGAUCACUAAGUGAAAGCUGUUAUUCCCACCAGGCUAACCCACACACAUAGGACCGACUGACUUCUGCAGCACACUCACAGUACCAGAAGCUGUGUGUGUUUUUGAAGCUGGCAGCAAAGAGGUUCUUCAGUUUUGUUUGUUUUUCAUAAACAAAAUUCACAUUCAGAUUUGUGCAGUGCUUAGAAAUGUAACUUUUUCUAAAUCCACUGUUUAGGUGUUCUGAACCAUCUGAUUAAUGAAAUCUAUCAAAUUCACAUCUAUUAAAAAUGUUAAAACCAAGCCUGCUUCUCUUCUUAGGGGACAAGAAAAUGUAUUUAAAUGCUACAUGAUUAUGUCUACUCUGAGCAAUGGAAGCAUGGUAAGCUGGCAUCUCACCAGUCGCAGCCACAACAUUACAAAGUAGUUUUCAAAUUGGUGCUCAGAUCUAAAGAUGCUUAUAGUGCUGCAGCUGCAUUAAAGAGGAACUAUCUGCUUUCCCAGAAGUUUUUUUUACCCUCAUUGGUUUAAAGCCAUCAAAUGCAGAAUUACCAUCUCACAGGCAGACAAAAGCCUGCAGACAUUCAAAAGUCAGUCUUGGGAAUUACUCUGUGGGACCUCUCACUGCUUCAGCAUUCACCAUAUCAAAGCGUCAUUAGCAGAGGAAGAAGUUGUAUUAACCAAAUGCUUACCUCAAAAUUAUUCUGUUCAUAACAUCACAGGAGACUUAUCUCCUAUUUAAGCAUAUUCCACGCAAUAGAAUCAUAGAAUCACUGAAGUUGGAAAAGAUGUCUGAAAUCAUCUAGUCCAACCAUCAAACCACCGCCAUGCCUGCUAACCAUGUCCCUCACUGCCACAUGCUCACAGUUCUUGAACACCUCUGGGGAUGUGAGUCUGUAGAGAGCAGUAAGGUCUCCCCUGAGCCUUGUCUUCUCGAGGCUGACAAUCCCAGUUCCCUCAGCUGCUCCCCAUCAGACCUGUGCUCCAGACCCCUCACAGCUUCAUUGCCCUUCUCUGGACACACUGCAGGGCUUCAAUGCCUUUCUUGUAGUGAGGGGCCCAAAACUGAAUGUAGCACUCAAGGUGCAUCAUCACCAAGGCCAAGUAUAGAGAUGAUCACCUCUCUGCUCCUGCUGGCUGCAUUAUUGCUGAUACAAGCCAGGAUGCCCUAGGCCACCUGGGCACACUGCUGGUUCAUAUUCAGAAGGCUGUCAACUAACACUUCCCAGACCAUUUUCCUCUGCACUGUUUUUUAGCCAGCUGCCGUACUUCCACAGCAAGCCGCGUGUAAGUCAGUUAUAAAAUGAUCUGAGUUUGCUUGGUUUUAAAACUGCUUUCUAGGAGUUUCCUUCAAGGUUACCAUGACCAGUCUACAGGGAACACAUUAACCUAGAGCAGGGAGCCAAGAGCAGCAAGAAGUUUAUUCUCCAUGGAAGUAUUAAGACAACUACACAUAAAAUCUUGUCAGAAGAUAAAGGUUAGCUCCUUUUCAACCCAGGAACAAAGUUUGAGUAAUAUCAGCUUGAUGCUUCCAGUGUGAAUGUAGCAGCUUUGAUUGUAAGUUCACAGAAGAGUCCACCUGCAUAAAUAUUCUGGUAAGGAUUUACCAAGAAUCGCUGCAAGCUAUGGCUCCAAUUUACAAUUUAUGGUGGAAAAUGAAAUUCAUACUACACUCCUCAGGAGUAUAAUAGUGACUCAAUCGGAAAGAAGCAACUCAAGGCAUGACAGGUAGGUGAGAACACCUCUCUUCACGAAUUUGAUGUUGUACAAACAUUUAUCUGGUUAUCUGGUUAUCUGAUAUGGUGGCAUUAAGGCAGCACUUGGAGGAGUUCUGUGGCUUGAGUCACAUGGAGCAUGGAAGUUGCUCAGUGCAAAAGGAUGAAUGAGCCCCAGAGUGCUGUGUCGGAACUAGAAUGGUACAACUGCAGCCUGAACAGGAAGCUAAUAAGCUUUAAAGCUGAUUAACAUGGAGUUUUUUUGUGCUUCUUGUUGCUGUUGUGUAAUAAACAAUCGUAUAACAUAUGCUUCUGCUAAGGCAAAGCGACAAAGUUUCCAGAAGGAAAUGGUGGCAGACUGUUCUCUGCACCCACAGGGAGAAAUAAAAAGACUUAAAGCAAGAAAUGAUUCUAACUGAUGGCAGAGAGCACUUUUAUCAGCAGGCAUCCUGGCUGCUGGGGGCAUUCCUGACUUCCGAGAAAACAGAGCAAAAAUUACUGAGUUAAUGAUGUGGUUUUUGCUCUCAUUUUCAUUUAUAGUACAGCUCUGGUAAACUGUACUCAAAUCGUGGUAAAGACAAAAUGACCAGAAUUUUUACAUGGUGUGAACUUAUUACAGAGUAUUCCGGAACAAACUCCAUUUGGAAGCCUGCUCCAGAACCACACUUCCAGCUGCCAGGCUAAAGUGAUUCACUACUCACGUACAAAUCCCUGUUCUGGUGCCAAAGCUGUCCAUGGCAUGACUACCUCUCUGCCUCUCUGCUAUUCAUUCUGCUGCACGCUGCUGUCCUCCUUCCAUCUUUCCUUUCAGGCUAAACAGAAUGAACAGCUCUGUCUUCUCCAAGGUAGAGGGCUUCUACUGCACUUGAUAUUUCUCUGUAUCUACUAAAAGUCUGAGUUAAUUCACCCUGAGCAUGGGUAAUUAAGACACUGCCAUCAUACAUGUGCCUUUUUCAUGAGAACACAGAGGUUUGAGAGCGUUCACUGAAGGUAAGACCAAUGCAGAUGUUUUCUGGUGUAAAAUAAAAGACACGUAAACAUACAAAAACCACUUUUACUAGCACAUGCUAACAGUUUUUUUGCAAAGAUUUGGCCAACUGAGAGUAGUAACAGUAAAAACCAAACACGUGCAUUGCUUACAUGGAAGUCAUUCCCCCAGCCCAAACUUCUCCCACAGCGCCACAGUGACAAAAUGACCUCACAGAGCCAUCUCUGAGAGCAGUUGGAUGUGGGUGCAACACCACCACAUCCCAACCCUGGUUUUAAAGAAGAUGCACUCCACUGAAUUAAGUUCCCCAAAGAGAAUCAAACCUCGAGCCCAACAGGAAAAGAUUCAGCCUAAAUACAGUUGAAGUUUGUCAAAGUUAGACAGUUAGAAACAGGGAGAAAAACUUGGCGGCAUCGGGGAAAGCCCUGAUUCCUGUUCACUAACACCAAGAAACAGCGUGCAGGUCAUCAGCAGGGCACAACAGCUUGGUGAUGGAAGCCACACUUGCCUGGUGCCAAAGACAGCAUCACUGGCAGGCAGUACAUCAAGUCCCAUGCUUGCAGAAACCACCACUUCAAUGCCUUUGGGUCUACAGAGCUCUGUUCUUCACCAAAAUGUUGUCCAAUUGCAUGACUGUAAUAAACCCAGGAGUUCUGCACUGGUUUUCAUAAUCUGGCUUACUGAAAGCUGCAGUAGUGAUGUGUGAAGAGAAUUACAUGUAGAAACUCAGAACUUUUCACCAUAUUCAGUGAGCGGGGACAGCACCGAGCAGAGCAAUGCAACACCACAGCUCCUCCAUAAGUGACUUUGCUACCAUUCUCCACGACCGCUCCAGCAUUCCUUGGUGGAUUCUGCAUCAGCGAGAGCUUUGUGCUGGCAAACAGAAACCGAAGAAAUAAACACCUCAGUGCAACAAAAACAUCUCCAUGGUAUCUAAAGUAUGUGAGUACACAGCGUGGGGAUCUGCAAGUGAUGUGUCAGCACGUGUAAGUAACACAAGGGGCUGUGUGUUUCUUCACUCUGCGCUUUCACUGCUUCUCACAAGUGUGUCACUGCAGUUGUUGCCCAGCAGUUUAAGUACAGAUAUAAGAUGGGAACAGAGCAAUUAGCAAUUCCAGCACGGAAAUACCUCGCUUAGAGCAAAGCACUUUACAUAUGAUUAGAGGACUCAAGUUUCUACCUCCCUUAAGGCAAACGCACCAUGAUCAAAAAAUAAACCAGUAAAAAGUAAAAAGUAAAGCCAGAUGACAGAAAUAAUGGUGUAAGCAUUCAUCGGUUUUGUUCCCAGUUCCAACUACGACUUAACAGAUUAAACCUGUUAAUUCAUUACAUGGAACGUGACACAAGCAUAGACUGUUCCCAAAUCUCAGUCUAAACCACUAAAGCUCUGCGGCCCAGCACCGACUGAUUCCCAGCCUGCCAAGUUCAGCUCAGCUGCAGCAUGCUUACCGGUCCCUUGUGUUCUAGAAGAUGCCCAGCGCAGCAGCAGAGCUCAUUAACCAAGCCACAGAAGAGCAGCCACUGCCAAAAUGCAGCUUAACCCUGGCUGUCCUGCAUCCAACACCCAGCAGGCUGGGUGCCCUUCCAGAGAGCUCUUCCCACAAAGCUCCAGCACCCACCCCCAACCCCACACAUUUCUUCUGUCCUUUCAGGCACGGACCGAUGCUGUUGUUUGACACUACAAUGUUUUUCCUACAAGGUUACCAGGCCAACAAGGAUGUGCUGUAAACAUCCAUCACAAUGCUUUAGGAGCAAAGUAGGUGGUGAGCCUCAGCUGUUCUCCUGGGAUGGUGGCAUUGCAGCAGGUCCUGCCCAGGCUGAAGUGCUGCAGUCACAACAUCUGCCAUUGAGCAAUUGCUGUCUAACCCUUGGUGCUCUUGCACAUCCUGCACUCUCACUGCUACUUCUUCAUUUUUCAGUUUUGUUUGUUCCCCGCUGAUCUUUUUACAGGGCCUUCUAAUAAACUCUCAUGCCCUGAACACAAAACAGAAAUUGCACUUGCUGUAUUUUUAUACACUUUGCAGAACAGAGCCCUUCUCAUGGUACACACACACACACAAAAAGACAAGAACUAGACUGGGUCUUAGGAGAACAGCUUGGGGUGAGAAAAAAACUGAAUGAACCACUAACAAAGAGAACAGGAAACUUCUGUGGAGAAAAAAUAAAUCUUGAUACAGAAAACACAUCUGUCUAGUGUGGGAACUGUUUCAGAAAACAGACUAGUUUACAAUUAGUGGAUUUUAUCAGCAGUAAGCAUGAAUUUCGGUUGGACAACAACACUUCUCACAACAAACCAGUAAAAGUGAACCUGAGGGUGUGUUUCCCACAGCUCCUUGUGUCACACCACUGCAUCCUGAGCUGGCACGAUGAGGUUCUCUGCCAAGUGAAGUGAGUGCUUAACAGCUGCACCGUACAGUUCCUAGGCUGCAACUUGCUGAACACAGACCAGCACAAAUAGCAUGCUCCUGAUUGCAUCUGUGUCAAUGCUAAUGGCACUGCUCUUGGGUGGGAAGGCCAAGGAAGAAAAAGAGCCACAGUAAAUUACGGUUGGCCCUAACACACUGACAUGUUUUACAGUGCAACACCCAAAGCAUGAAAAACUACAAUGCAAUGCAAACGUGUCUUGUAAGAUAACGUGACUUCUUUGAGCUGCCUUCGUUUCCAGCACUUUAUAUAAACACAGCUUUGUUCUGAGCCUGGAUUAUCCUCCAUCUGAAGCUCAUGUUCUCACUUUGUGCUUGAGGAUUGUAUGUCAGCAUCUCCACAGCCUUAUGUACUCCCAAGGUACCAUUUAGCUGCUGUCAGAUCAGAACAGACGCAAGAGCAGUUCCUAAAAAGUUACAGUGAGUGCCCACAAAUCUUCAACCUUCUGUCCCCAAGUAAGCAACGGAAAAAAAAAGAGACUUGCAUGCACACACAUGCACACCCUCCUCAUACGAACCCCAGAACAUCUACAGGAAAACAACAUCUGAAAACCCAAAAUGAAACUUAAGGAUGUGUUGCUUUUUUUUUUUUUUUUUUUUUUUAAA